UGGGGAAUUUUGGACAAUGGGCGAAAGCCUGAUCCAGCAAUGCCGCGUGUGUGAAGAAGGCCUUCGGGUUGUAAAGCACUUUUGUCCGGAAAGAAAUCCUUGGCUCUAAUACAGUCGGGGGAUGACGGUACCGGAAGAAUAAGCACCGGCUAACUACGUGCCAGCAGCCGCGGUAAUACGUAGGGUGCAAGCGUUAAUCGGAAUUACUGGGCGUAAAGCGUGCGCAGGCGGUUUGCUAAGACCGAUGUGAAAUCCCCGGGCUCAACCUGGGAACUGCAUUGGUGACUGGCAGGCUAGAGUAUGGCAGAGGGGGGUAGAAUUCCACGUGUAGCAGUGAAAUGCGUAGAGAUGUGGAGGAAUACCGACGGC
rnacentral:rRNA from 1 species